rnacentral:sRNA from 1 species
CCCUAGCCCCGAUAGUAGUGGUAUCCUUUAUGUCUCGUUUUUUUCGAGACAUAAAGAUACAAGCGGAUAGCGGGAAUAGCU